rnacentral:tRNA from 1 species
GGGAAUAUGGCUUAGAGGUAGAACACUUGUAUGUGGCAUGUGUGUAAGUCCCUGGGUUCAAUUCCCAGCACUCCCU